GUUUAGUUAUAGUGUGAUUUUCAUCAUCUAUGACGGUGAUCGAGGAGUUAUCAAAGCUUGCUGAUUUCAUGCGUUAAGCAUACGUAGUACUCACCGACGAAGAUAUCGAUGAAACAACCAAUUCCCGAAGACCUUUUACUUUCCUCAACGUCGUUGCUCUCAGCAACAUCAUGCUGAAAAUGACGGCUCAAAACCAAAUACCACACAUGAACAAACUCAGAGACAAGACAACUAUCUACUCUUCCUAGAAAUUUCACCUUCCAUUAUUGUUAAUCAAAGAGGGUGAGAUUUCCAAAGGGCAAGAAAGGGAAGCAAGUAGAUGUAGUAGUAGAGCAAGUAGUUAUUGAAGAGAAUGUGAAUGACUUGUUGAACCCCGUUGUUGCUGCCAAAGAGCGGGUGAAACGUAGGAAUGAGAUCACCGUUGAACUCUUGAGUGGGGAGAAUGAAGGUAUCUCGAUAUCGGCUUCUGAAGUGACUUAUGAGUUUAAUUUUUUAGGUUUAUCUUUGAGUUAUUGCGUUGAUCGAUACUAGUAAUAUUCUUAGCAAAAGAUUUAAGUUAAAUUCAUGCAGAAUAAGUUAUUUGAGUUUUAAACAAAUAAUUAAAUAAAGUU